AACGAACGCUGGCGGCAUGCCUAACACAUGCAAGUCGAACGAGACCUUCGGGUCUAGUGGCGUACGGGUGCGUAACGCGUCGGAACCUGCCCUUAGGUUCGGAAUAACUCCCCGAAAGGGGUGCUAAUACCGGAUAAUGUCUUCGGACCAAAGAUUUAUCGCCUUUGGAUGGGCCCGCGUUGGAUUAGCUAGUUGGUAGGGUAAAAGCCUACCAAGGCGACGAUCCAUAGCUGGUCUGAGAGGAUGAUCAGCCACACUGGGACUGGGACACGGCCCAGACUCCUACGGGAGGCAGCAGUGGGGAAUAUUGGACAAUGGGCGAAAGCCUGAUCCAGCAAUGCCGCGUGAGUGAUGAAGGCCUUGGGGUUGUAAAGCUCUUUUACCCGGGAUGAUAAUGACAGUACCGGGAGAAUAAGCUCCGGCUAACUCCGUG
rnacentral:rRNA from 1 species